rnacentral:rRNA from 1 species
AUGUUGUUUGGUGAAAUAAUCUCAUUUGACACCACUUACAGCAAAAACAAGUAUAACAUGCAUUUUGCACCUAUAGUUGGAAUUAAUGGCCAUGGUAGAACAAUUGUUUUUGGUUGGGCCCUAUUGCAAGAUGAGACUUCAGACACUUUUGAAUGGCUCUUUCAAAAUUUUAUGGAGGUAAUGCAGUGGAAGAAACCAAGAAUAAUAUUGACAGACCAAUAUGCAGGGAUGAAAGCUGCUAUUCCUAAAGUAUUUCCAGAUGCUAGACAUAGGUUCUAUCUUUGGCAUAUAUUUAAGAAUGUUAGGGAAAAUAUGAGUGCUUUUAUGGUACCAGGGAAAAAAUGGAGAAAAAUAUGA